CUGCUGAAGUAAAGUAUGGUCAGGGUUUCAUGAAAACUCCAGGAAGGAGAUUCUGCCUCUUUCAGGAGGAAAAGAUAUCAGUGUUGUUAAGAUUUGAGUCAGUAUUUUUAAAAAUUAGAAAAUUGGCCUGACCGCUAAGGGCAUAAACAUGGAUUCAGCAAGUAACUCAGGAUCAUUCUGGAAGAAAAACACCCGGUUGGCCUUUGACCCACUGUGCCAAAUUAUUUCAUCUACUGAUAAAACCUAGAGAUUUGAGGACCCUGGCUAUCAGGCAGCUCUUCAGUGGAGAGAGAGUAGAGGGCUUUGCUGGUGUCCUCAGAGCACAGAGGUUGGGCUGUGAGCACACUGAGGGCUUGGCCCUGGUGAGAGAUUCGUUUUUGAGUGUGUAGUAGUAAAUGAAAGUGGAGUCUGGCUGCUCACCACUCAAAAGUCAACAAAGAGGCAAGAUUGGUGGAAAGGAAAGUUUGCUUUAUUUCAGAUGCUAGCAUGGGGAUGGGGGGCAGACUCCUGUCCAAAAGCUGACUCCCUUCACACUUUGUCAGUCAGCAAGAGCUUUUAUAGAUGGGGAGAGGGGGCGACAUGCAGAAAUAGCACAGUCAGCUCAGAUAGUCAUCUUGAAAUUCGUCAUCGGUGGUCCAACAAGCAUCACCUUGAUUGUUAUUGCUGGAAGGAGGACCUGUGACAAAUUCAAAGAACCAUCAAGGAUAUCCUGGACACAGGUAGGGGCAAUGACCCCCUUGUUCCCCUCUCAGGACUGGGAAGCAGGGACUUUUGGUGAGCUUAUAAUGCAGACAGCCUGAGAGGGGCAGUUCUUUUUAUUGCUGCCACCUAUGAGGUAAGAUGUGACCAAGUGUGCCGCCUGUUUCAGAUCCCUUGGUGUGGGUAGGUGGAGAGUGGACUGAUUCGGCUAUGGGGAAAGAAACAUGGGAUCAGCUUUAGGCAGCUUCGGAAAAGACCUAAAGGGAUCCUGCAUGUUCUGAUAUGAUCCAGAC
rnacentral:lncRNA from 1 species